GAUGAACGCUGGCGGCGUGCCUAAUACAUGCAAGUCGAGCGAACAGACUAGGAGCUUGCUCCUCUGAAGUUAGCGGCGGACGGGUGAGUAACACGUGGAUAACCUACCUAUAAGACUGGGAUAACUUCGGGAAACCGGAGCUAAUACCGGAUAAUAUAUUGAACCGCAUGGUUCAAUAGUGAAAGACGGUUUUGCUGUCACUUAUAGAUGGAUCCGCGCCGCAUUAGCUAGUUGGUAAGGUAACGGCUUACCAAGGCAACGAUGCGUAGCCGACCUGAGAGGGUGAUCGGCCACACUGGAACUGAGACACGGUCCAGACUCCUACGGGAGGCAGCAGUAGGGAAUCUUCCGCAAUGGGCGAAAGCUUGACGGAGCAACGCCGCGUGAGUGAUGAAGGUCUUCGGAUCGUAAAACUCUGUUAUUAGGGAAGAACAAAUGUGUAAGUAACUAUGCACGUCUUGACGGUACCUAAUCAGAAAGCCACGGCUAACUACGUG
rnacentral:rRNA from 1 species